GAGUUCCCGUACGAUCACCGAAGUUAAGCAACGUCGAGCCUGGGCAGUACGUAAAUGGGUGACGAUUUGGGAAUACCAG
rnacentral:rRNA from 1 species